UUUCGAAUCAUCCACAAUGGGCGCAAGCCUGAUGGUGCAACGCCGCGUGGGGGAUGAAGGCCCUAGGGUCGUAAACCCCUGUCACCAAGGAGCAAUAAGCAGGUUCAUAGCCUGUGAUGAGUUAACUUGGAGAGGAAGCAGUGGCUAACUCCGUGCCAGCAGCCGCGGUAAUACGGAGACUGCGAGCGUUACUCGGAUUCACUGGGCGUAAAGGGUGCGCAGGCGGUCAAGUAUGUCAGGUGUGAAAGCCCGGGGCUCAACUCCGGAACUGCGCCUGAAACUACUUGACUAGAGUCUCGGAGGGGAUAGCAGAAUUUCUGGUGUAGCGGUGAAAUGCGUAGAUAUCAGAAGGAAUACCAAUGGCGAAGGCAGCUAUCUGGACGAGAACUGACGCUCAGGCACGAAAGUGUGGGUAGCGAAAGGGAUUAGAUACCCCCGUAGUCC
rnacentral:rRNA from 1 species